CCUACGGGAGGCAGCAGUGGGGAAUAUUGGACAAUGGGCGAAAGCCUGAUCCAGCCAUGCCGCGUGUGUGAAGAAGGCCUUCGGGUUGUAAAGCACUUUCAGUGGGGAAGAAAGCCUUGGGGCUAAUACCCUCGAGGAAGGACAUCACCCACAGAAGAAGCACCGGCUAACUCCGUGCCAGCAGCCGCGGUAAUACGGAGGGUGCGAGCGUUAAUCGGAAUUACUGGGCGUAAAGCGCGCGUAGGCGGUCUGAUAAGCCGGUUGUGAAAGCCCCGGGCUCAACCUGGGAACGGCAUCCGGAACUGUCAGGCUAGAGUGCAGGAGAGGAAGGUAGAAUUCCCGGUGUAGCGGUGAAAUGCGUAGAGAUCGGGAGGAAUACCAGUGGCGAAGGCGGCCUUCUGGACUGACACUGACGCUGAGGUGCGAAAGCGUGGGUAGCAAACAGGAUUACAUACCCCUGUAGUC
rnacentral:rRNA from 1 species